GGAUCUGGUGUUGCCAUGAGCUGUGGUGUAGGUCGCAGCCAUGGCUCAGAUCUGAUGUGACUAUGGUGUAAGCCAGCAGCUGUAGCUCCAAGUGGAUCCCUAGCCUGGGAACUUCCAUAUGCCUUGGGUACGGCCCUUAAAAAAAAAAAAAAAAAAGCCAUUUGUAUGUGUGUGUAUCCAUUUUUCUAUUGGGCUAUUCAUCUUUUAAAAUUAAUUUUGUAGGCACUUUUUAUAUAUGUCACAAUUAACCCUUUGGAUACGAGCUGCAAAUGUGCACCCCCUCCACCCAUCCAGCGUCUUGUCUUUUGACUUGCUUUUAGGUUUACUUUUCUAAAGUAGGAUUUUUUUGUAUGUGUGUGGUCAAAUUUAUCUCCUUUUAUGGCUCUGGAUUUUGCUCAUAGUUAGAAAGGCUUUCCCUAAAAUUCUACAGCUUUAUCAAGAUAUCAUUUGCAUACCAUACAGUUCAUCAUUUAAAGCCUGCGAUUCAUGGGUUAACGAUCCGGCAUUGCCAUGACCUGUGGUGUAGGUUGCAGACGCGGCUCGGAUCCCGCGUUGCUGUGGCUCUGGCGUAGGCCGGUGGCUACAGCUCCGAUUAGACCCUUAGCCUGGGAACCUCCAUAUGCCGCGGGAGCGGCCCAAGAAAUAACAACAACAACAACAACAAAAAAGACAAAAGACAAAAAAAAAAAAAAAAAAGAUUAUAAAAACUGGCCUUAGGACAUAGGAAGCUGCUGUGUCUGUGCAGAAGCACCCAGCAGAGAAGAUAUCUGGAUAUAUGAAGACAUAUGAGCUCCCUGGAACCAUGCAAUGGAAUACUAUAUAGCAAUCAAAAGGAACACAACUUCUCAUAUAUGUAACAGUAGUGGACAGAUCUCAGAUGCCUUGUGUUCAGUAAAAAGAGUCAGACACCGGAGGCUAUGCAGGUUGCCAAGGCCUGGGAGUAGGGAAGGAGUCAUUUGCAAAAGGGUACAAAGGAACUUUCUGGGUAUUGAAAAUGUUCUGCAUCCUGAUUGUGGUGAUAGAUGCCACAGCUGAGUGUUGUCAAAACACUAGAACUUUAAAAACGGGGAUGUUACUGUAUGUAAAUCUAAACAACUUUUUGUUUUUUAAAAAAAGUUCGGAGUUCCUAUCACGGUUUAGUGGAAAUGGAUCUGACUAGCAUCCAUGAGGAUGCAGGUUCAAUCCCUGGCCUCACUCAGUGGGUUAAAGAUCCAGCGUUGCCACGAGCUGUGCUCAGAUCCCACGUUGCUGUGACUGUGGUUGUGGCAUAGGCCGGCAGCUACACCUCCAGUUACAUCCCUAGCCUGGGAACUUCCAUAUGCUGUGGGCGUGGCCCUAAAAAAAAAAAGUUCCAUUUCCUCAUUAAUGGUGAAGGGACAAACAGAAUGUGAUAUAUCCAUAUAAUUGACCAUUAUUCGAUCAUAAGAAAGAAUGAAAUCCUAUACAUGCUCCAAUGUGGGUGAACCUUGAAAUCACGAUGCAUAGUGAAAGAAGCCAGACUCAAAAGGUCACAAAGGCCACAGAGUUGGCAAAUCCAUAGGCAGAAAGCAGAUUUGUGGUUGCCAAAAAUCUAGGGGAGGAAAGAAUGGAGAGAGACUGCUAACAAGUUUGUGUUUCAGUUGAUUAAAAAGUUCUUAGGAGUUCCCUGGUGGCCUAGUGGUAAAGGACUUUGCAUUGUCAACUACUGUGGCUCAGGUUUGGUCCCUGGCCCGGGGAACUACUGCAGGCCUCAGGCACGGCCAAAAAAAAAAAAAAAA
rnacentral:lncRNA from 9 species